GGCUUAGAUGGUAAAGCAUCUGCCUACAAUGCAGGAGACCCAGGUUCAAUCCCUGG
rnacentral:tRNA from 1 species